GACGAACGCUGGCGGCGUGCUUAACACAUGCAAGUCGAGCGGUAAGGCCCUUUCGGGGGUACACGAGCGGCGAACGGGUGAGUAACACGUGGGUGACCUGCCCUCAGCGUCUGGGAUAAGCCUGGGAAACCGGGUCUAAUACUGGAUAUGACUCCAUGACGCAUGUUGUGGGGUGGAAAGCCUUGUGCGGCUGAGGAUGGGCCCGCGGCCUAUCAGCUUGUUGGUGGGGUGANGGCCUACCAAGGCGACGACGGGUAGCCGGCCUGAGAGGGCGACCGGCCAC
rnacentral:rRNA from 1 species